UUUCUUUCAGUGCAUAAGUUGGUAUUUCAGCUUAUCGAACCAGUGUAGGUCUGGGAUCAAGGCAAGGUGCUUUCAUUAAUUUUCAACACCAGUUUCCUGGCUGUGAAGCAUUGUUUGCCCAGAGGACUCACCUGCUCGUGGUGCUGGGGGCUGUCACCUGUUCUGCUGACUGUUCCACUUUCUCCCUUGGGUUAGUGCCCAGGUUUUCAUGUUAACCCAUCUCCGUUUCCAGAUGCUCUGGGUUUGUGGCAGUCUGGCUGAAGCUCAGAACAAAACUCAAGGGAGUCCAGCAUUGCAUGCGGAGUUUCUGCUGCUGUGUUAAUUGAAAGAGAGAGAAGGCAGAGGAAUUACACUGUGUUUCUCAAAGCACAGGCAGCGUACUUACAGAUGAGCUUAUUAUGAGAAGAAGCCGCAUACAGACAGGAUUCUGCUACCUGUGGCAGAAAAAAGGUUUGAUCUGCGCAGGACCUCUCCAGACCCCUUCACCCUCACUUGGGAGGAAAAAUCGAACAGCAAGAAGGACAUGCUCAGAGGAGUUGGAUUACAGCUUACACGUGUAUUCGAACCCAGAGUUACACAACUGCAUGAAGAGCUGUGUGCAGAAAUGCUUUCUGAUUUCUGCUUACAACAGCCUAGAGUUUGUAAGAGAUUUGGAGGGACAUAACAUUUAUUUCCUACUUCCCUGAGCUUCAGUCCAGGCCUUGGAAAAACCCAUCUGACAGAAUUACUGCAUGGCAGCGUGUCAGCCUCCAAAAUCCUCAAAAAGCCCAUGAAAAGAACUGCUGUAUUUCCUUUGGAAAAACAGGAUGGCAGCCACGGAAUGCCUUUAAUUUAAAGGAAAUAGUUGCAUCAUCUAUGGGAACAUCCCAGUAACAAGAAAGAGACCCGUGGGGAGGGUAAACUUAGGAAGAAAGCAAGUGGUGGGCAAUCAUACAGACACCUUCAUCUUCUCCAGUUCCAUCCUCUCUGCUGCCACCGGCAGACAUGAACAGAAACAGGAGAUCAGUUGUCCUGUGGCUGGACAUUGCAUUGUUUGCCAUGUGUACGCACUGAAGAGAAAACUCUCCCAUGGCGUAAACAUCUUCACGUCCCAUAACGAAAGAAAUCAGCCCACCUGUCAGUGCUCAUCUUGCUUCAAGAACCGGCUUUCUAUGUUAUGUUGUCCUGCCAUGUGGUAGGCAAAGGUGAGGAAGGGUUGCACCGCAACGCCGCUCAUUCACAGAGGAAUCCGUUCUGCAAAAAUUGGAGAGAUUCUAAAAUCUAUUUCUUAAUAUCUAUAAGCUUCAGGAGCACAACAUUAACAUUUCUCCUCCUCCUCCACUGUGGCACAGGCUGAGAGGAUGCUGAAGUACAGGUGCCUGUCACCUGCCUGAGGGCGGCACACAGCCAGUAGCCGAAGCACAGCAAUCUCAGCAGCUGUAAACCGAUCUCUUCAGCCCAAGUUCAUUUACUUGGCUCCAAUGUGUAGACUGCCUUCAUACACGUUUAGCAGUGAGAUUUGCAAAACUGAGAACUGUGCUAUAAAAUACAGCUUUCUAGCGUGGUAUCAAAACCCGAUGAUGAAUUUGACACGCUGGGAGGCAGAGGUUUGGGCCGGAGGAAAGAUGACUUAGAACUAAGGAAAGCGAAAUGCUGAAGGGAACUUGGCAUAGUAAAACUGCUGUAGGCAGGGGAAAAUUAUGACUUUACUGAAGAAGAGAAAAAAAAGUUUUACUACUGGCUUCUGACCUUAUUGGCUUCUCAAAUGUAUACAGGGAAUGGAGAAUAAUUACCAAACAAUUUGUAGUGAGAAUUGGCUGCUCCCUGUCGUGCUAGAUGCACGUGCUGCCUUUGCUGCAGCAUCCUCCGCCAGCGCUUCCCUCUCCUUGCGCUGCCGCUCACCAUGCAGAGCCCCAGCUGGCGGCUGCCAGCAGCUCUGGAAAUGCAGGGCCUUGGGCUGCAGGCUGGAAAUUCUUGUUUCCAGGAGCAGCUUAAGGCCUGUGGAAAACUCCCACUGACUUUGCUGGGAUUAUCCAUCUGCGGAAAGUUAUUUGGAGGGAAGUGCAUUCCUUUGUAGAAUGGCUGGCAACAGGUCCGGGCAGUGCUUCGGUCUCAGUUCUGGUGUAUUGUUUUUGUUGGGCUGCAUUCAUUCUGUGCCUUGCACAAUGGGGCUGUGCUCCAUCACUAGAGCUCGCACUUUCCAUUUUAGUCUAAUAAAAGUAGGAUUAAAAAAAGAAAGCCCAACUUGAAUGCAUAAAUGUUUUCAGAUAGCGGACCCCUCGGGCUCUGCCAUGUUUGUCUUUGAGCACUCUCAUAGAGUUUAGAGCACAGCUCUGCCUGAGGAGCGUAGAUUCAGAGUGACCCAUCUGUUGUCAGGGCUUCUGGGGACUCAGGUGAGGAAAAUUGCAGUGUAAAUAGGAAAUGAGACCAGGGACAAUGUUCUGCCUGUGUUUUCUGAGCGUUACUGUUCCUUACACUCUUUUCAUAUUUUUACAUUUCUCUUUAUAGUGGUUUUAUGAUCUCAUUCCUCCAUGUAAUUUCAAAAGUACUCCAAUAUCUAAUUGGAAGGUUGAGGAGAAAAGUCCCCAGGCUAGCUUGUUUAAGAAGAAUGUUAUCUGCUGUCUGCUCAACUUACCUUCUGUGAAGCUCCAAGGCAAAGAAUCCUAUGCUGCAUUUAAACUUAAGAGUUUGCUAGUAAAAAUACCCUUCUUCCUGAGGUUAUUUAAAAUGAGAGCCUGCAUUUCUCACAUCCCACUGUUGUCUGAAAUACAAAAUCCCAUCCUAUAUUGCUAUGCCAGAAAAUGUUAGCGGAUAAAGUGCCGAGCAGGUCACAGUAUUUCUAAUUCAGAUUAAUGACCCCAUUCAGCUUGUCUCCUUAGCAGGAAAUUAGAAAGUGCUGGGAAGGAGAAAAUAGUGAUUCAUAAUGCGUGACUCUUUGUAUUGGCAGUUGCACUCAUUAAACACUAAGAUACUGUUUUGAUAUAAAAUAAUUGAGUCUGACUUAUUUAUGGGAUAUGGCUGUCUCAGAUUGCAGAGAUUCCCUGGAAGGACUGCUGGCUCUGUGCCUCAGUGGAGGAAAAAGAGGUGACUGAUGCCCAUUGGCAACCCCUGGCCAGGUGAAGCACAAAAGAAGUGCACAGAAAAUGACCACUGCUGCUCUGCUUAGAGAGGGGAAAACACCUUCUUCAGGAAGGUUUGGAGCAGACAGGGACAAAGUGAUGGUAAACCUCCUGGGAAAGCAGCUUGCACUGACUGCAUAAUUUGAUAACUGCAGUUACAAGAGGAUGACUCCUCACAUCAGCACGGCUCCUGGCCUCUCUGGACUUGAUGUGGGUACAACAGUGGUCAGCCAUGGUCUGUGUGCAUCCUUCAGGCUGAGCCCAGGAUACAGCUCUACACCCCUCUCUGCUCCCCAGCCACAGUCUCCCCUCACCAGGGGGUUCCAGCCUUCCUCUGGCCUCAUGCAUGUGCACCAUCACUUGGUAAUGCUGAAGAUGCCCCAUCUCUGGAUGCAUUCAAGGCUGGAUGUGGCUCUAGGCAGCCUGGUCGGGUGGUUGGCGACCCUGCACAUAGCAGGAGGGUUGAAACUGGAUGAUCACUGUAGUCCUUUUCAACUCAGGCCAUCCUAUGAUUCUAUGAUUUUGGCUGGAGAAAGUGUGCUGGUUCCAGAGCAAUUACACUGAAGUUUGUAUAGAAAUGUGGGAAAGUUCUCUCUUUGUCAGAGUUUUUGACAAAUAAACUUACUUCAAUGCCCACUUUUAGUUUUUUUGGGUUUUGAUUCCAUUUGUUUCAGGCAGCAAUUAAGAAAGUAAGAUUUGAUUCUUUAUUCAAGCGUGUAACCUACCCCUGCAGUGAGAGCUCUGCGCUGGGCUAGGAAGAGAGCAGAGAUUUCUACUGGUAGGUGAAGUUCUCACUCAUCCCCAGGAAUGCAGAAAUGAUCCUGAGAAGGAAGGACCAAAUCCUUAGUUCCCUGGGGAAUGCUGCAGCUCCCUGCUCUUAGGGUUUUGCUCCUGCAUUUGAGUUCUUUUUUCCUACCCAGCGGCACUGCUCCAGCUCCUUGAUUGGUGUGAAAGAUGGCAAGAAGGAUAAAUGCUGGUUGCAAGAUCUCUGAUGUGUUCCACAGAUCCAUAUGGCUGUCCAUACCUCGAGCUGUGGUGAAAAGGGUUGUCGGUACUGUUCUGUGAGGAGCUCAGGUUGGUUUGUGCCUGUUCAUUUGGAAAUAAAUAUGCAGUGGGCUGAGUUCAGAUGGGCAGAAAAAGGACUGUGGGUCAAAGGGGACCAGAGGGUGUGAAAUGUCAGCAUAUGGGAUGCAAGGUGUGCCAAAGGCUAGGGUGUGAAUCACUUUGGAUUUUCAGAUUUGUAUCAGCAUUGUGCCAGACUUCCAGCAUUUAUAUUAGUCACCUACAAUCUGCUGAAAUCCCGUAUUUGGUGUCUUUAAAAAGAUGUAUGUCUUUAUUUGCUCUGUAUUUGGCUUGUGAUCUUUAAGAGCUGCAGUUACUGGAUGCUAAGAGGUGGCCCUGUUCACAGCCUCAUGCUGCCUUGAUUGAAACGCUGAGGUCAAAGGCCAGCAGGAGCCAAAGGUCUCUGCAAGCUAACCAUAUGCACAGGCUCGCCAAGCUCUUCUCCCUCUGUGUCAUGAAGACAAAUGGCAUUUUUAAGAAUUCUCCCAAUGAACUAGCAUUCAUUUUCUGGUGUCUCUUCCUUCUUUAUUGCUUCCUAAUGAGCUUCAUUCCCAUCACCUCUAGCCUCCUGCUCUUGAGUCUGCAUUUACACUGAUGCACAGAAGAGCAGCAAAUUGAACAAAUUAAUUAAUUAAGCUGGCCCGUCUAAUGAAAGGCACCCUGAUGACUCCUGGGUUUUCCCCUCUUGCUUUUUAAAGAAAUCUACUCUAUAUCUUUAAUGGCCACAGUUGCUGGGCUUUUUCUGUCCAUAGGCUCUGCAAGAACACCAAAUUCUUUUUCUGUGGUGUUUGGGGUUUAACUGAGAACAUUUCUCUCUCUGUGUACAUCUUUACACAUACACACAUGUAUAAAUGUGCACACAGGUAUAUUUUUAUUCUUUAUUUCUGUAUUUAUGGCCCCUACUUUACUUGCUUGUUUAUUAUUUUAGCAGUGGAAUUUUCAUGAAAGUACUAUUCAGGAGCUAUUUGGAGUGACAGCUAUAACUAAAGAGGGAAUCCGUGCUGUUACAGCCCACAGAGCUUCCUCUCUGCCUGGUCUGGCUGGGCUCUAUUUGUGCUCCCGUUCGACCCAUACUGCUUUGUUUGCAGUCUGCACUCCCUGGGCCAGACCAGCUGAUUCAAAACCAAGCGUUACCUACACAUCCCCUUAUUUCCACUUAUUUCAAUGCAGUGUUGCUAAGCAGAAGAUCUGGCCCCAUGCAUUUGUGCUCCUCAUUACCAGAGCUUUAUGCUUUACCUCAGGUGAGGAUGUUGACUUUGGUGCUGCAAGUUGCCUAUGUGUAAAAUGCAUCCAGCACCUUCGUGUGUAAAUUACUGUCUUUACGUUGCUUUAAGAGACUCUCAGUGUGUGAAAGUACAUGAUGAAAACAGUGAAUAGGCACUGGAAUGGGCUGCCUGGAGAGGUGGUGGAGUCAGCAACCCUGGGGAUGUUCAAGGAAUGUUUGGACUGUUGUGCUGAGGGAUGUGGUUUAAUGAGAACUACUGCUGAUGGGUGAAUGGUUGGACUGGGUGAUCCUGUGGAUCUUCUCCAACCUUGGUGAUCCUAUGACUCAAUGAUUCUAUGAACUUGCAAAGGUUAAGUGUUAAUCUAUGAAAGGGCCGUUCCAGUUCUGACCAUUCCUUUGUAUUACCACUGUCUGUAAGCAUGCACUGCGUGGCGGUGGAGCCAUUGGUGAGAUGGAGCUGUUAACCAGGUAUUACCAUCAGGCCAACCAAGUUUACCCUUGAAGAAGAAAAAUCACAACAGCAACGCUUUUGUUUUGUAUCACUAGUGCUUUUCCUUCCUCCUAACACGUGCCCUUUGCUGCAUCUCUCUGCUUUCUUAGGAGGGUUUUAAGGCUGGUUACAGAUGAAUGGGACUAAUGGCCUCCACCUGAUUUUUACAAGAUAGCUGUUUAAUCCAACAUUUCUAAGUGCUGUUUCCGAACACAGUACUACUGUUACCAGAUGAAAGAGCUAUGGAUUCUUUCCAAGGAAUAUGUGAAUAAUUUUAAAUUGCUCUGCUGAAAGUACUUUUACUGAGUGCCUUUUCCCCUUCCUGUCUGCGAUGCAUUUUCACUUUGAAGUAAUAAAUACAUAUAGUCUCUUGGUGUCUACGUACUUACCCUGCCCAUUCUCUUCCUUUUUAUUCCUCAGCUCAUCACCUCAUUAUACCUGAAAAACAGUGAAGUGAAGGCUAUAUGAAACACGGGGAUAUAAUUCUGUACCCGUAAGAGGUACUAUCUGAAACUUCAGUAGAGGUUAAUAGAAGAUCUGAAAUGUGGUAUACAGAAUUGCUAGUGGGAAUGUGAACCUGAUCCAGCUUUCAGUGUUGGUACCCUGCUAUCUUUAUUAGAAUUGUCAUAGAAUCACAGAAUUGUAGGGGUUGAUAGGGACCUCCAGAGAUCAUGGAAUGAGAAGUAUCAAUUUAGAACUCAUCCUUCUGCACCUCUUUAAUUCACCUCUUUAAUUCACAUAGGAAUCCAAAAGGAACAGUACAAGAUUUUGUUUCUGCUUUUUUCAUCACACAGUUUAUCCUGCAGUACUUCGCCAUCCUGCAACUAGAAAGCCUGGAGAUGGAUGACAAAUACACAGCUAUGGAAUCCUUAUGCACUUCAUAGAGUCCAGGUGAUGGGUUUACUUCAAUCCCUGGGUGUGAAUUUGUUAGCGCAAACUCUGAAGAAGUGAAGGGUAUCCAGAAUAAAGCAAAAGCCACCAAAUGGGAGAGAAAGUUUCACCAAAAUUCCUUUAAUGACAUCCUCUUUCUAUUCUUGUGUUUGGUUACGUGCUCUUGCUUCCUUAUGUGUUCCUUCUACCUCGCUGAUAGAAAGGACACAAAUGGCUCUCUGUGCAAGAAUUAGAGUGCAAGGAAGUGCUGCUGAAGACAUAGGCUGAAUCUGUGCUCCUAACAAUGUCAGCCUUUGGAAGUAAGACUUGCUACUUGAAAAGCUGCCUAUUGGCAUUUUUGUUUUUCCUUUUAAUUAGAGAUGUCAGAAAUACACGACCUACACUGAGAAGAGCAGCAAGGGUGAUGUAGCCUAUAGGUGAGGUUUUGAACAGUUUCAUUGGUCCUUCUGUGGUCAGAUUCACUGGCUCCAGCUUUCAUAGUUUCAGGACCUUUCUCUCUGAUGGAAUUUCCUGUAGUUGAGGCAGGAAGAAAUGAGAUUAUUUUGGAGGGCCAAAGCUUUUUUGUGAACAGUGAGGAUGUGCACACCUCAUAUUAUUGUCUCUGCAGAGGAGGAGGGCUAACCUGGACUGGUACAAUUGUACAGUUUAAUCACAGAACCACACCAUAAAAUAUAUAUUAAAAUGGCCUUUUUUUUUUUUUCCCUUUCUUCUAUUUUUUUUCCCUUCUGCAAUACCCCUGAACCAUUUUCUGUGAGCUAGAGUUCUUGCAAAUAUUUCCCUGCUUUAAGAUGAUCCAGAAGCAUCUCUAAGACUUUGACAGAGCUGUUGCCUGUUCUCCUUAAUGGCUUGAAAUUUUGUCAGAAGAAGGAAGAGCACGGGGGUACCACCAAGCAAGCCUGCUUAUGUUGCCCACCAGCAGGCCUCAGCUCUGCUGUUUGGGUAACACUGUUGAGAAUUCUACCAACAAUUUUCACAUAACUCAAAAAACAGCACUAGGAUUUGUUAUAGGAAGCACCUGAGCAUCUCCUGAGACCAAGGCUACCUCCUGAAAGGAAUGGAGGUGCAAUAACUUGUUCUAAGCCAUGCAGCAGAAAUAACGGGCCUGGGUAUGACCCUAGGCCAGUGUCUUCAUUUCUGGCUCAUUCAGCCUCUUGGUGAUGUGAUUUCUUCACAACACCUUCAGGUCUAGAAAUAAGGGUACAAGACCACAGGGAGAGGCAUAAAUGCAACAAAACCUGCUCAAUUUGGUUUCCACACACCUGUCAUGCUCCUUAGGAGAUGCAGUUGCCUUGCUUGUGCCUUGGAAUGUUUAGCAAGAGAUCUGUGGGUAACAUUACAGCUUCAUAGAGAGUAAUCCAAUUCUUUUAGUCUGAAAUAUCUCUUCACGUGUUUAGGAAGAAGCCAAAUGAGGGAGAAAACAAGAUGUCCAAAGGAACAUAAAAUGUAUAUUUGCUCUGUCAGUUUUCUUCAAGAGAAGAAGCUAUGAGAACUACACGCUCUGCGUGUUUGACAUUAGUUCACUUCACGGUACUGCAGAGUAUGUAUUUGUAGGGCUAUAUUCACACAAAAUCUGCUUCACACAGACUGCUGAUUUAGAUGUCUAAUUUAGGAGCACAGGCUCUCUCUGUAGUCACCAGAGCCUAAAUUAACGUCUUGGAAUUACCCCUGAAAGGACUCACCUUUCUCUAUUGAGUACAGAGCGACCUGAGGCUCCUAAUUCAGGCACACAGGUCCCAUGUCAGGGAAGGCCCAGUGUGUUAGCCGUGUACAAACUGUGCCCUGUUCAAACCCUGCAUGCUUCUCAUUUGCUGAGCAGGGCAGGAGAGACCUCGUAGCACAGACCUUGCUGUGAACCUGUAUUGCUGAGCAAGGAGGAGAGGGUCUUUGCCAAGCGUUGCCAGAUCACAGCCUUGUCAGGGCAAGGGACAGCUUUGGUCAGCCUAGAAGUCAGGAAGCUUUCACAGGAGCAAACCUCCUCACUGAGAGUACAUUGCUAGAGUGCUCUGGGGUGACUGGCAGAGAGCAGAGCAGAGCUUGGAGAGAGAGGUGUACACCCUUGCUGGACGUGCCCUGCUCCAGAGGGUCAGCAUGGCUGUGGCACACCUUCUCACCUCUCCUUGAGGGUGAGGGAAGGAGUGGAGACGAUUAACUCAGGGGCUGAAGGCUCUUGCAAACCCCUGGCUUCUACAUCCACCUCUGCCCUUCUCUUCCUGUCACCCUGCACAAGUCGCCAGGCCCUUGCUCAGCCUCCACCUCCUGCGAGGAGAAUGGCUUUAUUUACAGGAGGUGAUGUCACAGCAGCGUUGUGAGGGAUGUGACUCAAUGUUUGUAUAAUGCUUUGAAGACGAAGAGUGCUAAGUAUUGUUAUUCGAGAUGGCAACAAAAUAAACCAAAAUGUGUUCGCUGCGACUAUUCAAGCCAAAUCCAUUUUCAGUUAAUCUUCCAAGCAGGAACUCAAAAUCAAAGCGAAAAGCCUUGCCAACUGGAGCUUUACAGCUUGAUGGGAAAGUACGAAAGAGAAUUAAUUGGGUUUUAAAUAGUUGUAACUGUAUUGUGAUGCAGCACGGUCUGGAGCGCUCGGCUGCUGCUGGUUGCCAACUGGUUUGGAGCUGGGAUUGCUCAAGGGAAUCUUUUUUGCAGGAAAGAAAAAUAGUUGGGCCAUCAUGCACAGUGUGCUCUAUAGACUGACAGGAACUGCCUCUGUGCUCUCUAUGAAAACAUGAGCUUUUUCCACUUCGUGCUGCUUUUUUUUUCUUUUUUCACAGCGAUGCAAAAACAGUGGAAGAUGUGGAAAGCAACAGAAUUGCCCAACACAGCACAGAGCACCUCGUGGGGAUCGUUUCCCAUCCCAGAAAGGAGGGACAGCAAAAUCUGAUGGCAAAGCCUGUUACAAAUACCUGUUCAAAGCAAGUUGUCCAUCACACAGGCAUACCAGCACACUCGCUUCCUGGGAGCGUUGCUAAAUGCAGAUCACUUGCAGAUGCCAUCCGAGCCCUGUACUGAAAUUAGCAAAGUUCCACGACCGUAAACUGGCAGAGACUUGCUUCUUCUAAGGAAAAGUCUGUGUGCAUUGGCUUCAUAUUUUUCACCUGACGUUCAAAGGGGCUUGAAUGUGGCUCUCAGCCUCUUGCGUUCGCUGGGGUUUGUCAAUGUGAAGUGCCCUUAUGAGUGGGCUAUUUACUGCUUUCCCACUCUCAGUGAACGCAGUGUUUUGUAGCUAAGCCACGCUGUUUGGGUUUUCCUGCUCUGUCCUCAAAUCCCGUUUUUUUGUUUUCUUAAUGCUUUUGAAGUUACUUGGUCCUAAAAUAUGGCUCUCAGUAAACAUUUCAGCACUUCAAUUUGGCUUAAAUUUUACACUUUAAUAUUCAAGUUCCAAAACAGUUUUAUGAGCAAAUAAAAAAGAUGAUGGCUCUGGAAGCAUUUAUUUUCAAUAUCUUUUACUUCUGCUAAGCCAUAUACUCAAGAAGCUGCCUUAUAAACAACUUUAUAUUGCACUCUAUUGCCAAUCAUUGGAAAAACAUGCCGUAAUGGGUUGCAAAUGGCACAAUGUUAUGCAGCCAGGAUGAACGAGGUCAUUGGAAAGAUAUCGUAUUGAUAAAAGCAGGCAUGGAGAAAAUAACUUUAAAUCUGAAGUCUCCAUAUCACGAGCAAUAGAACAAAGGAAAAAUUACAGGUAUUUUUUUCUACUCAGAAACAGCCUGAGCCAACAGCACUUUGCUUGCUGAAAGGUUUUCUCUCUCAUAAUCCAAGCCAAAUGUGUAUAUUUCCUUUACAGCCAUGUUUGCUGUUGUUUCUUUGCAUAAAUCAUUUUUCUCACCUCUAGAAAGCAGAUUCUCUCUGAGAACCCAUUAAUUAUCUGUCAGAGGAAAGCAACGAUCGUACAUUCACAAACACUGAGCGGACAGAGUGGUCCUGAAACACCCACAGCAAACAUUCAUUACUUCAGGUCUGGCAACGUUAAAAAUGCAGCACAGCACUGAUAGAUUUCCCCCCCCCCCUUUUUGGAGAAAAAAACACCAUGUAAUCAGUCAGGUGCUUAUGCUUUACUGUCAAGUGUAAAAGCAACAUAGCCAUUUGAAAUCACGUCAUGGAAGCCCUGUGCCCAGCAAGCACUGGACUAGCUUUUCAAUUUCGGCUCCCUGAUGUGUCUGACACUGAGCACAGACUGCUUGUCCCAGAGGGCUGAUCUUGCAGGCUGCUCGUGCGCUGAACUUCCUUGCUUCGGUGCAGAACCCAUUGGAGCCCACUUUGCAGGAGGGCAUUUGUAUGCUCAGAGUGCUGAGAGGCCUUCAGAGACGGGGCGGAAGAUGAGAGGGGCAAUGGCUGCAGUCUUGCUGGGGUGGAUCCAUUGCAUUCUGCCUUUGUUCUUCUUUCUCUGCUGUGUUGAUAUAUGUAUGUGUAUGCAUAUCCAUCCUCUUGCAAAGACAUACCAACACUACCUUGGCUUUAUGGCCACCAUUCAAAACUGACCAGAGCCCCACGUGUCUCCAGACUGGCUGGAGCUCACUGGCAGCAGUAGCUACAGCCACUGGGCAGAGAGCAGGGCACUCUGGGGCUGAGGGCUAUUUAGAACACGCUCUCCUGCCUGUCCUGUGAGUGCACAGAGCACACAAGGCGGCAGGCUCCUUCGUAGCACACUCAGGCUGGGUGGCAAAACAAAAAAUCACAGACUCAGAAAAACACGCACAUCUUUUCCAAUUAUUCUCUUGGCAAUCUUGACUUUUCAAGUGCCUUCUGGAACACAUCCAGCAGCUGAGGAGACCUGGUCCCACAUGGGGCAGCUUCUGGCGCCCAUUGAACGGAGGCUCACCCCAUAAAGCUCCACCUGAAAAGUUCUGUCAGAAAACAAAGCGCCAUUAACCGGGGCACAUAUGUGACUCCUUUGUGUCCGCAUUGGAGGUGUCAGCUGUGUGACGGUCGCACAGUUUAAUUAAGGCAAGGCACACUGAUCUGUGCAGUUUUAUUUCAGCUUGUUCUUCCUUGCAAACCUAACCGACUUUGCCCCGCAAGCCUGAAGAAGCCGGUAGUGUUCCUGCCAGUGGCCGUUGGCAGAGAUCCCUGUGUGGAUGCUGUGGGUUUACAGAACGAACUGUCCGGUCCUACAGAAAUCUGGCUUCUGUCUGCAGCGAUUCGAGGGGCAUUCUGCUGUGGCUGCCUGCCUUUAGAAAAGGCAGUGACUGCGACAGAAGAACCUCAUUUUAGUGCACGAUGGAGGGGAUACGACGGCUGUAACGUACAAUUCUGUCUUUUGCGAUGCUUAUUUUACCAGCUUAGGAACUGUCUGUCACCACAGCCACGGCCAGGCCCUACAGGCCGCUGUGCCGGGCGCUGUCCCGGGCCCGCUCCGGCCGCGCUCCGCCUGUGCGCCGGCGCCACCUGCUGGCCGAGCAGCGGCAGCGCCGCCUCUCCCUUUUGCACCGCCCGCGCCCGCGGAGGUCUUCAGUGACUCGGAGUCACGUUCUAACAACGCCAAGGAACGGCCGAGGUUGGUUUGUUCGUUUGUUUUUAAACACGGGUUCGCUAAGAAAGUGCGCCUCUAAACUCACCGAGCUGACUGAGGUCGCUCCACUCUUGCGUGCUUCUCAUGCAGUACCUCUCACGGACAGGCGAGGCUGCUGUGCAAUUGCUUCUCUCGUUUCUGAGGAGCGGUAAGAAGGGGACCGUGCCGUCGUUGCUAAGGUUCUCCUACGGCCUCCCGCUCUGCUGUCCCACUGCGUGGGAAUGCGGCCUUCCUCCUCAGCCGGGUUCGGGGUAGGACAGCUCCAUACCUCUGCAGCACGCAAACUGAAGCUUCCUCACUUCCCUCUGCUUGCAGAGGCUGCUGAGGGCUCUGCUAGGGAAGGGCCCAACGGGGAACGGUGUCUACUCCUGUUAACACCAGCAGCGGGCACCACGUGUUGGUCAGCAUUUGCCUCAAGGAAAACCACCAUCCCCAGACAGAACUGUUCUGUACCUUUAUAAUCCCAAAAGAAAACUGAGUCGUUCAGCGCAAUCUGUUGUCCUGGGAAAAAAGCAUCUAUUUACAGCAGACCUAAACGUUUUGGGGUUUCUUUUUUUUCUUUCUUUUUUUUUUUUCUCCGAGGGAAUGUAUUGAAUAAACCAUAUUAUUCUCCAGAUAAUGGACGAAAAUGUUCCUUAUUAUGAAGACUUCAUGCUCUUUCAUAAUCAUCAAUAAUUCCAGGGGCGUGUGGGGGGGGAGAGCAGGAGGAUAGAACUGAUAAAUGGAAAAGUGAAAGGGGAGAGGAAUGAGGCUGUAAUUUCAUGUGAAAUAUGUCUCUGUGUGAUGCCCCUUUCCUUCAGAACUGUUCAACA
rnacentral:lncRNA from 1 species